rnacentral:misc_RNA from 1 species
AGCAGGGGCCUCUGUGUGUGUGUGUGUUCCUUCGGUGAGGUAGUCGGGGCGUUGUGAGGGCUCGCCGCCUUGCUUGUGUGCGUGGAGGUACGAGGAGGGGGGUGGUCACGGCUGUGUGUGAGCAGCCCCUUCGCACCGCCGCUGCCUGACGCAUCUAUUUUCAUUGCAGCUCUUGACGAUUGCCGAGGACGCUGUGCCCGUGAUCAUGCAUGUGCGUAUGCGCGGGUCGAACGUGAGCGGUAGCGCGCGCAGAAACACUCCGUCGUCCUCCGUGGAGCCACCGGCAACAGCAGCAGCAGCUGGUUGGGACAGCAGUGUCCUUGUAAACCGAGGCCACGGCGUUGUUGGCGACGCCGCACGUCAAAUCUACUGCGCUGCCGGGAUGGACCGUAUCAGUGUGACUCCGCUCGCCAGCGCAGCCGCGCCUCCCUUUCCGUGGUCAUCCAAGUCCUACGUCACGAGUCACGGCACUCACGCCGAUGCGGCUGCGCGCGACACCAACGCAGCGGUGUUGGCAGGGUCGACUAUCCAAGACAGCGAUGUGAUGCUGGGCACCACACCGGACACGCACAGGCGCUCGCGCCACAUGGCGUCCCCGUCGCAGCAUCCGGGCGACUCGUCGCUGGUGUUCGCCAUGAGCGAGGACAGCGAGCUGAAGGUGCUGGCGAGCGGCGUCAGUCCCUCAGCCGCGCUGCCACCAGCGACAUGCACCUCCUCGUCGAAUGCCAUCCACCCCCCUUUGCCGCACUCUUCACAGUGCACCGUAGGUCACAGCCGCACCACACGCACCCAUGUGCCUAUGGCUGGCAAUAUCGGUGAGGGCGACUGCAGCGUCUACGCGGUGAACCGGCGCGGCAGCCAACACAACAGGCACGGAUUUGCCGGCGCAGCAUUGGCCGAAUACAACGCUGUGGCAGACAUGGGGCACCUCAUGCCCCACACACCAAGCGUGCGUCGUCAGAGCGACGUCGACGUCGUCGUGCCGGGCGGUCCGCACGAGGCGCCCAUUCAGAAACCUUCGGUGCAGUUGUCGCACCACCAGCUGGGUGGCAGUAUUCGAGGUGGAGCAGCGACGAUGGCAGGUAUGCCGAGCAGCGCCGGUGCCGCCGCUGCCCCGGUGUACCGCACAAGCCCCCAUGAGGUGCGAACACCGCCCGCGCUGCAGGUCUUCACCGGCGUUGCUCCUGGAGUUCACAAGGUGCGUGGAACAACAGCGGCCACCACCGCCCCCGCUGCAACAGCAGCUCCUGCUCCUCCUCUUCAUAGUGGUGCAGGUGUGCGGUGGCCGCAACGACAGAUGCCCUCCGUCUCCCUGUACUCGGCAGGUGGUGGCGGCGGUGCGGCGUUCGUGCACGGCGCGAGCCGGACCUCCUCUUCGACGGCCGCGCUGCACGCCACCGCUGGCAGCGAUCAGCUAGUGCAACAGCAACCAGCGCAGCUGCUGCAGCAACAGCCUCCCUCUGCUGGUGUCAGCAACGCGGCAGACGCGCGCUCGCAGCACAGCGGAACGCCGCCGCCGCCGGCCUCGCAACCGCUGGACAAGAACUUUACAGAGGCCCAGCGUCUGGCCGUCCUGGAGGAGGUGCAGCAGGAACUGUACCUGAACUACACAGCAGUGCCAGUACCGGACAACAUGAUCAACUCAGGCGACACCGAAGAACGCCGCCGUCGGCUGGACCAGCGCCGCAAACAGAUCGUAUAUGGAAAGGAGACGGAGGGCUACCUCAAAUACACCUCCAUGAUAUCCCGCCCGUGCGACCGGGAGUACCACAACCCGCUGCACGCCAUCACGCCGCGCCCCGAAUACGACUGCAGCAAGCGCCAGUUCGAUCGCGUCCUGAACGCGUGGCGGCGGCAGCUGCAUCAAUGGGAUGACUACGACGCGGACAACAUCGAUGAGCGCUUCUUUCCCCUUGGUAAGGCCUCGCUGCUAGACUUGGGACUAUGCCACCCCCCGGCGAACCACACGCCAACGACCGCCACCGCAGCAGCAGCACCAGGCGCCACUGCGCCGCCGCCUGGAAAGCCGCCGCAGGCGCCGCCUGCCGGCGUGAUGCACUCCAUUGCCAACGUCGCGGCCAUGGCGAACGGCGUUCACGGCGAUGACGGCGCCAUGCAAUGUCACUCGCGCAGCCCUGUCUUCACCGAGAACAGUCCGACCUCAGGGCUGUACUCGUCCGCCAGUCUCAGCAUGCACAUCAGCUCGGGCCGCGCCGCCUCCAUGGCGACCGCGUGCACCCCGUCGCGCCCGCAGCUGUCCGAGGGGGCCGAUGGUCCGAAGGUGGAUGAGUCGUUCUUCUUCCACAUGAACUCUGGCAACAGCCGUAUCGCCUCGCCGUUCCAUCCCACCUACUCCGGAACCGGCCACAUGGGCCAUGGCGGCGGGAAUGGGCGGAGCAGCGCCAACUCGCAUUACCAGCAGCUCAUCAUGCGCAACAGCGCCGCGCACGUGCACAACAACGCAAACGGUGGUACCCCAGGCAGCAGUUGCGCGAAUUACACAGGUCUUACUCCAGCACAUCGCCCGGCCAGCCGCGGCGGCAUGCCGCACCACAUUACAUCCAUCUUCGGCAGCGAGUAUGAGCUGAUGACGCCGUCGGGCCUCGCCUCGCCCGCCGGGAUGCCGCACAACCCCCGAAACGGCAGCAGCCCGUACCCGCUCGGCGAGCCGUGGAUGCCGAAUCGGCGCAGUCCAACAUGUGUCGUGGGAGCCACUCACGGCUUUGGCUGUCACCACCCCUCGACCGCCGCUCUGAGUGGAGUGACCGCUUCGAACGGCAGUGGCACGGCGAUGAUGGUGGGCGGGGGGCGGGGCGAGUCCCCGCCGCACACGACAGAGAUGGCGCUGAUCCCGAGCACGUCGCUCUCCAACGGAAGCGGCUUUGCGCAGUCGCCGUACAGCUACCGCGUCCACUCGCCUGUUCAGCCCCAGAGUGCACUACCGCAGGCCACCAGCACCUAUGCCACGCCCCUCACGCGCCAACAAAGCCGGCCGAGCCUGAGCGGGUAUACGAACGCCGUUCCCGCUGCUGCCGGCAUUCACCACCAACAGCAUCAGUCGAACAGCUCAAGUGGUGCUCGAGUCGGACCCCCACAGCAGCAACAGCAACGAGUGGCCAUCGCCACUGGCACUGCCGCCGCCGCCUCACGUUCCGCGCGUGGGAGUGGCGUGAGCGGGUUACCAACAAGCUAGGCACUGUCACACGCACGCCGACGCGCAUGCACACGUGCGCACUUGCACCAAGGCAACACGCUGCAUGGCCGCUGACGAUAGAGCUCACCAACUUGCGUUUAGAUAGUCUUAGCAGCCUCGCCUGUGUCAUGGCUGCCCAACGGUAGUGCGCACGCAUGUGUGUGUGUACCCCACUGCACUCGCCCACACAUGUAUUUCCGGAACGUAUCGGUGCGCUCCAUCACUCCACCGCACUUGGCACCAUGUCAUGUGUUGUGGAGUGCGGAAAGGAAAGGUGGGUGGAUACGGAGGCAUGAUGUGCGGGGAGGGGGGAUGUUGGGUAGUGAGGCGGAUGUGUUGAGCACAGUCUUUCCAACCACCCCGCAUCUCCUCGCCGUGGUAAUCACGUAUUGCCGCUCUUUGGUGUUUUCCUGUUCUUGUGUCGCGACUGAGUGAGCGAGAGUGGGUGACAGAAUGGCUUGUCGCCAUCAUCUCCUCUCUCCCCAUUCUACGCACCGUCUCUGGUCGGCUCGCGCUACACGCACACGCAUACACCCAGCUGGAACACACUCCCGCGCACAGCGACAGCACCGGCGCACUCUCGUCAUGCACACUCGUUGCAACAUACCGUGGAAAACCCGAGAAGCAGGAACGAAGUGAGGAGUAGAGGUCAAGAAGGGGUGUGUGCAGUGCCGGCCACCGAGCACGUGCGGAUGCGACGCGGACGGCGACGCCUAUGCUCGCAUCCAGCCGCGAUAUCUUGCAUGUAUGUGGGUGUAUAAAUGCAUGUGUUUGUUGAUAGGAUGGGAGCUAGGAUGGCCCGGGGAGGGGGAGGGGGGGGGGGCAGAGGCAGCGGCGAGGCGUAGAAGCGCCGCGUGUAUGGAGAGGGAUGGAGUUUGUUGAACAUGCGACUCUUGGAACGCGCUUCCGCCUCCUCAGCCUCCCCUCCCCGCCCCGCUCCUCCUCCUCGCCGCUGUCCGAGCCGCAUUUGACGAUGAGAGGUGGUGUAGUCGUUUCUUGCUCUCUCUGCGUUGUUUGUGCUUUCUAUUUAUUCCCCCCCCGCCUCUCCGUGUCUCUCACUCACACGGCCUGCGGUCCACAACCCACCCGCCCUCUGUCGCCUUUCAUUCUCGAUAGACCCGAAGAGUAAACGAAGAGGGCGCAUCUCAGCAAGCAAGCAGCGCACACAAAGGACAGGCUGUGCGUCUGUGCGUGUGUGUGUGUCUCGCGUAACGACAUACCCACCUACCCACACCCGACUACCACUACCACCUCGCCUGUGCCUCUCCCGAAUGAUGAAUGGGGCCAUGCCCCGCCGUACGACGAGGCCACAGGAGUUAAAUGUGGGAGGGGGAGGCUUCUCCAACGAUGUAUGCGUGUGUGCGCGAUGGAUUCCGCUCCCGCAGAAAGCACAAAAUGGCCGAUAGUGGGUCUGAGCAG